rnacentral:rRNA from 1 species
UAAGGAAUAUUGCGCAAUGGGCGAAAGCCUGACGCAGCGACGCCGCGUGAGUGAAGACGGUCUUCGGAUUGUAAAACUCUGUCAGAGGGGAAGAUUAUGACGGUACCCUCGGAGGAAGCCUCGGCUAACUACGUGCCAGCAGCCGCGGUAAGACGUAGGGGGCGAGCAUUGUCCGGAAUUAUUGGGCGUAAAGCGCUUGUAGGUGGGAACAUAAGUCAGAAAGUAAAUCUGUCGGCUUAACUGACAGGCUUUUUCUGAUACUGUGUUUCUUGAGAACUAAAGAGGAGAGUGGAAUUCCCAGUGUAGCGGUGAAAUGCGUAGAUAUUGGGAAGAAUACCAGUGGCGAAGGCGUCUCUCUGGUUAGAUUCUGACACUGAGGAGCGAAAGCUAGGGGAGCAAACGGG